UACGUAGGGUGCGAGCGUUAAUCGGAAUUACUGGGCGUAAAGUGUGCGCAGGCGGCCGCGCAAGUCGAGUGUGAAAGCCCCGGGCUUAACUUGGGAAUUGCGCUCGAAACUACGUGGCUGGAGUGUGGCAGAGGAAGGUGGAAUUCCACGUGUAGCGGUGAAAUGCGUAGAGAUGUGGAGGAACACCAAUGGCGAAGGCAGCCUUCUGGGCCAACACUGACGCUCAUGCACGAAAGCGUGGGGAGCAAACAGGA
rnacentral:rRNA from 1 species